GCGGAAUAUUAAGCCGCGACGAUCAAUAAAAAAAUAGAGUCUGCCGACAUCGGACAGACCCUACAGUACACACAGCAGUUCAUCCUAUUGCAAAUCCCGCUUCAUUAUUCCGUUCUGCAGGUUUAUUUAGUUAUAACAGGUUUCACUUAAAAAUAAAGUGAUGGCA
rnacentral:sRNA from 1 species